rnacentral:rRNA from 1 species
GGGCCCGCACAAGCGGUGGAGCAUGUGGUUUAAUUCGAUGCAACGCGAAAAACCUUACCUACCCUUGACAUCCCUGAAAUUGGCUAGCAAUAGCUGAGUGCCUUCGGGAAUCAGGUGACAGGUGCUGCAUGGCUGUCGUCAGCUCGUGUCGUGAGAUGUUAGGUUAAGUCCUGCAACGAGCGCAACCCCUAUACUUAUUUGCCAGCACGUUAUGGUGGGGACUAUAAGUAAACUGCCGGUGAUAAACCGGAGGAAGGUGGGGAUGAUGUCAAGUCAUCAUGGCCCUUAUGGGUAGGGCUACACACGUGCUACAAUGGACAGUACAAUUGGUUGCUAACCCGCGAGGGGGAGCUAAUCCGAGAAAGCUGUUCUCAGUCCGAUUGGAGUCUGCAACUCGACUCCAUGAAGUCGGAAUCGCUAGUAAUCG